CUGGGACGUUUUGACUCUGUCAUCAGAAAGAUGCCUGUAGGCAGGGCUCAAGUCCUGCAGGAACGUGUGGGAACUGAGUUCCUGCACCUUUUUCCACACCAGGGUCCUGCAGGACCAGCACUUGAGUGAAAAUCUUUGUGAGUACAACUGCGUGACAGCAACCUGUGGAGUAAAAGUGAAGAAAAGAUGUAACACUGUAGCAAAAUAUACACUACUCUUAUUCUAGUACAUUUCCAAUGGAGCCAUGUCUAUAGCGUGAGUGCAAACAGCCUGUAUCAGAGUUUACUUCAUUGGCAGAUUUGGUUUCCUGCUCAUCAAGAAUACAUGUAUUACUGUUAUCUCGAUUAGGUCUCGAUACAAAGCAGUCAACCACAUUGGGACAAGGAUCUCUUUGGCAUUUAUAGAGAGGAUUUAAUUGAACUCCAUAUAGCAAAUGCUGGCCAACCAUAAAACCAACCUCAACACCA